CAGUACCGGGGCUGGGUGCAGACGUCACGCAUGCUGGGCAAGCGCUCGGUGCUUUUCAUCUCCUCUUCUGGGACGGCCUCAGAAGUUGCAGGCUGGGCUCCAUUUGCAGUCCUCCCACUCAUCUCCCAGGGGCUGGGAUGGAAGCCUGUGCCACUGUGCCCGUCCCCUCGUUUGACAUGUUGAUUCCAGAUGAUGACAGAAACAAGACACCACCAGUCACUCUGAAAAGCAAGUCAGAAGUGUCGUGGAGUUAAACAGGCACCUGAGAAAGACUCCGGAAGGUGCCGCUUCCUGAUAGGACUUUCAGAGCAGCCCCGGUGGAGAGGCGGGGGUCGUGACCAGGCAGUGGGUGGAGGGACACAGCUUCUCGGUGACGAACGCACGUCCUGCCAAUGAGAGCCCCACGGGGUGAGGAGGAGCUGGGGGUGCUUUUUAGGUCUUCGGUCUGGAGGCAGAGAACACCUGGGGCCCUCAGCCAGGGCGCUCACAGCCCUGGCACAGCCGGGCAUGUCCCCCUAGAGCUUCACCCCAGGCUCUGGGCAUUUUUCUGAGCAGCCUCUUUUUCUUUCUUCUUUUUUAACAUUUUAGAAUUUGUUCUGGUUAGUUACACUUGACAGCAGGAUGCACUUCAGCUCACGGGACACAAACGGGGGCAGCUUUUCAUUCCUCGCUGCCCGGCUGUGGUCCCCCAGGAGCCUCUGUGGUGGUGUGUUGGUCACCGUCUUCCCUGCCCCCGAGCCCCCUCACCGCCCCUCGCUCUCUCCCCUUUGCCAAAGGAGGCCCCAGGCUCUGCCCUGGCACCAACAGCCACAGUGCAGCCCAGGCCGUGCCGGGGCUGCCUGAGAGCAGGACUGCACCUAGCAGGGCCAGGGCACAGACCGCACCCGUCACAGAGGCUGCCCAGCUGUGUGGACAGUGCCACACACCCUCCCACACAGCGCCAGUGUUCCUUUGUCAGAGUCCAGCAGAGCCAUUGCUCUUCAAGUGCCCCCCGAGCUGAGCGAGGAGCACCAGCAGAAGUGGCGGAAAUGACCAGAUCCAAGGCAUCCCAAGCUUAUCUGCUGAACUGUCACGGACUACCCUGAGCCCAGCAUGGUGACCACCGGCCAGUCCUGAGGAGCUCGCCUCCAAGGCAAGUGGUUGGGUCCAACACUGAUGCAACACCCUGACACAGUGGCCAUCUGUCUUCAUGGGACCAUUUAACUGUCACCUGGCUUCCUGAAUUUGCUGUGUCCUAAAGGUCUGCAGCCUUCUGGGCAGCGUUGGUGAAAGUUGUGUGCAUGACUCACUGUGGCUACACCGCCACCUUUGUCGUGACCCUGGCACAAUUGAAAGGCCCUGGAGUCCUGGGCGUCUGGAACUCUUGCAGGGCUAAGAGCAAGAAGAGCCCGUCACUCUCCUACAGAAAACCCAGGGGCUGGGAUGUGGCUCGAGCGGUAGCGCGCUCGCCUGGCAUGCGUGCGGCCAGGGUUCGAUCCUCAGCACCACAUACAAACAAAGAUGUUGUGUCCGCCGAAAACUAAAAAAUAAAUAUUAAAAAAUUCUCUCUCUCUCUCUUUAAAAAAAAGAAAAGAAAACCUAGGAAGGGUCGCAC
rnacentral:lncRNA from 1 species